CAGCGUCACAUUGUUUUCAAGAAUACAAAUAUGACGACAUAGUUGUUAAAGUAACCAAAAGCGAUUUAAAGCAUUCUAAAACGUAUGGUAUUAAAAAUGGAUAAGUUUUGAUGAAUAUGUCCAUAAUGAUUUACCCGAUAAUCCUCUAAACGAUAUCGGAAUCAUUAAGUUGAGGGGAAGUGUUAAUAGGACCGUAGCCGUCUUGUCAUUGAUUCCGGAGUCUCAAUUAUAUGGCAAGAAAGUUUUCGUGCCCGGUUGGGGAUUUUUAGAAAAUAAUAUGUCAAAAAGGUAUUUGUUAACAGCAGAGAUGAGGAUAUUGGAAUCUAAAGACUGUCCACAGAACUGGAUAGAGGCUAUGGAUAUUCAUGUAGGUUGUAAAACACAUUUAAUUAUGUGCACCGCUGCAGAACCUCCAAUCGAAUUGACCUGUGGUGAUAGUGGCAGCCCAGUGAUUAUAAAUUGAAAUCAAAUAGUCGCGGUUCAUAAGGGUACUUGUAUUACCCUAAAUCGUGGAAUAAAAAUAAGAAGUAUAAAUA